GAUUUUUAGUAGUCAUGGGGUCUCACCAGGCUGAUCUUGAACUCCUGACCUCAGAGUGCUGGGAUUACAGGUUUGAGCCACCGUGCCCAGCCUCCAGUGCAUUUUAGGCACUAUGCUUUUAUUAGCUUUUUAAUCCUCAGUAGGACAGCAAAGAUGCUUGUCUUUUCCCUUUCAAAUAGGGCUAAGGGCUAACAGCCCUUAGCAGACCUUCUCUUUAUCCCCUUGACCAGGUUUGUAUCACAUGCCUGUGCCUAAACCAAAUGCUGGCAAUAGGGACGGAAUGAUAAGCUUUGCUUUGAUUAGUUAGAAUGAUUCCCAAGGAAGGGACAAUGUUCUCUGAGCACACAGAGAAUGAUCACUCAAAUAGAACUAGGGCUGAGGCAGGAAGAGAGAAUACCCUGAGGAUAUCAGUUUGGCUUGUAACUAGCAGGGCCUACCUUACAUAGCUGCAAGAUGAUGCACUUGGACCCAAUAGCCCAGAUCCCACGGGUGUCAUAGGAAGUGCUUAUCACGGAGCCUAGCCCAUAGCACCCCUGCUCUACAGACUCACCCAAUCACUGCUCUCAAGAGGGUCGUGCUGUAAUGGGGAAGACUGAUCCAUCAGCAAAUUUUUGUUUGUGUGUUUGUUUGUUUGUUUGUUUUUUAGAUGGAGUCUUGCUCUGUCACCCAGGCUGGAGUGCAGUGGCAUGAUCUCGGCUCACUGCAACCUCCUCCUCCCAGGUUCAAGCGAUUCUCCUGCCUCAGCGUCCUGAGUAGCUGGGACCAGAGGCAUGCACUACCUUGCCCAGCUAAGUUUUUGUAUUUUUAGUGGAGAUGGGGUUUCACCAUGAUGGCCAAGCUGGUUUUGAACUCCUGACCUGAAGUGAUCUGCCCGCCUCGGCCUCCCAAAGUUCUAGGAUUACAGGCGUGAGCUAUUGCUCCCAGCCCAAAUGUUUUUAUACUAAGGUGGAACAUGCUUUAUUAGCUGUAGUCACAGACAUUUAUGGAGACUCAGAAGAUCCCUCAUAUUUAAAACAUGUGUUCCUAGAUAUGCUGUUGAAGUUUAUUUCUUUCAACUGCAUAUCAUUACUUGCUUUCAUGCUCUCUUUGGUCCAUUUUUGGUUUUGGUUUUGGUUUUUGAGAUAGGGUCUUGCUUUCUUGCCCAGGCUGGAGGGCAGUGGCACAGUCACAGCUCACUGCAGCCUCAACCUCUUGGGCUCAGAUGAUCCUCCAGCCUCAGCCUCCCAAGUAGCUUGGACCACAGACGUGCGCCACCACGCCCAGCUAAUUUUUUAAUUAUUUGUAGACACGGGGUCUCACUGUGUUGCCCAGGCUGGACUCAAACUCCCAGGCUCAUGCGAUCCUCCUACCUUGGCCUCCCAAAGUGCUGAGAUUAUAAGUGUGAGCCACCAGACCUGGCCCCCCUUCUUUGGUCUCAAUCCCUCAACUCCAAUAUAGCCCUUUUCACCCACCUUCCCAUCUUCUCUAACCCCGGGGGACACUGGCAAUCUUUAAGCAGAAGAAUUGGCUGCCUGAAAGCCUGUAGAUUUAUUUGGAGGAUGGGUCAAGAAGAAGUCUCCCAAAGGAGCUUGGGGGAAUUCUCCUUUUGAUUUUGUUAUUCAAAAAUGAUGUCAAAUUUUAGAAAAUGAGAGAAAAUUUAGUAGAGUAUAACGGUUAAAGAGUCUCAACUUUGCUACUCAACACUUUUUGACCCUGAGCAACUUGCACUUAGGGGCCUGAGCUUUUCAAUCUGUAAAUACGGCCAAUAAUAAUACCUCCCUCUUAGGGCACUCUGAGCAGUCAUUGAGAGAGCACGUGUAAAGUGUUUUUGCACAGUGCCCAGAAAUUUGCAGUAUUUAAUGGUCCUUCCUCCUUAUUUAUUUUUAUUACUUGUUUUUGUUUUUUUGAGACAGUGUCUUGCUCUGUCGCCCAGGCUGGAGAGCAGUGAUAUUAUCGUGACUCACGGCAGCCUCGACCUCCCAGACUCAGGUGAUCCCUUCACCUCAGCCUCCCAGGCAGCUGGGACCAUAGCUAUGAACAAACACGUCCAGCUAUGUUUUGUAUUUUUUGUGAAGACGGAGUCUCACCAUGUUGCCCAGGCUGAUCUCCAACUCCCAGGCUGAAGCAAUUCCUCAGCCUCUGCCUCCCAAAAUGUUGAGAUUGCAGACAAAAACCACUGCACCUGGCCCCUUCCUCAUUCUUUUUGAAGUAUUUUAGCUUUCAAAAGGUCAAGGACCCUUUAUAACGGUUUGCUAGUUUAGAAAGAAAAAAAAACAGUGACAUGGUGAAAAAGUAAGCCUGCUCUCUCUCUCGUUUUCUAUGAUGCUCUAUCGGGAUUCCUUGGUUAGGAGAUAAGGUCAGGCAUUCUAGGGUAUUCAGAGGGCCCACCUCUUCAUGGGGAAGCCCAGGCUUGCUUGUUCUUAUGUUUUGCAGGACAAACGUCUUAGAACUCCACAGAUGGGGAGUCUGAGACCCUGAGUGAUUAAGUAAUUUUGACCUUGAGCUAUCUAUUUGACUUGAAGUGGCUAAUGGCCAGAUAAGUGCUCUGAGAUGAUAUCUCAGUUUCUGCUAUUUUUCUUGUGAGGAAAAGGAAAAAAAGAGCUUGAUAGUGAUCAGAGUUCAUUUGCAGAAGUGGUUUCCUUUUCCCCAAUCAACUUGUGAGAAUUCACUUCUGUCCUCAGCGUGCGUGCUUCAUUCAUUCACUCAUCCAAAGCUGUCUCAGGCAGAGUGCUGGGGACUGGGUGAGGGCGGGGAGUCUUUCCUUCAGGGGCUUAUUUCUGCUACUGUGCAUGUUCUUCCUCCACAACUUGCAGAUCCAGACCUCUCCUCCUGGCAAGACUUUCUCAUUUCUUUCACGUGACUUUUGGUUAGAAACAUUGGCCUGACUUUGAGGCUUACACCCAGCUUUCUUUGUUUGUGUUUUGUUUUGUUUUUGAGACGCGGUUUCGCUCUUGUUGCCCAGGCUGAAGUGCAGUGGUACGAUCUUGGCUCACUGCAACCUCUGCCUAGCGGGUUCAAGCGAUUCUCCUGCCUCAGCCUCCCGAGUAGCUGGGAGUACAGGUAUGCGCCGCUAUGCCCAGCUAAUUUUGUAUUUUUAUAGAGAGGGGGUUUCACCAUGUUGAUCUGGCUGGUCUCGAACUCCCGACUUCAGGUGAUCUGCCCGCCUCGGCCUCCCGGUGUUGGGAUUACAGGCGUGAGCCACUGUGCCCGACCCUCACACCCAGGUUUUUAGGAUACCCUUGGUUCUAUGCCCCUGAUGACCUGAAGGCAGGCAGGAGAAGUAGCAGUGUGUGUUUGUGUGUGUGUGUGUGUGUCUGUGUGUGUGCAUGCGCGCACGCACAUGCACGUAAGGGGAUGAUGCAGCCCGUGGCGCUUAAAUUCUACCCUCCCCAAGAGUUGGGUCCCUUCACCAAACAUUAAUUUUUUCCGAACUCCAUCUUAUCUCUGUAAAAUAGAAGUGCUGAUUCUUUUUUUUUGUUUAAGUUCUGGGAUACAUGUGCCAAACAUGCAGGUUUGUUACAUAGGUAAACGUGUGCUGUGGUGGUUUGCUGCACCUAUUAACCCGUCACCUAGGCAUUAAGCCCCACAUGCAUUAGCCAUUUAUCCUGAUGCUCUCUCUUCCCCCAGCCCCCUACAGACCCCACUGUGUGAUGUUCCCCUCCCUGUGUCCAUGUCUUCUCAUUGUUCAGCUACUACUUAUGAGUGAGAACAUGUGGUGUUUGGUUUUCUGUUCCUGUAUUAGUUUUCUGAGGACGGUGGCUCCCAGCUUCAUCCAUGUCCUUGCAAAGGACGUGAUUUCAUUCCUUUUUAUGGCUGCAUAGUAUUCCAUGGUGUAUAGGUACCACUUACCUAGUAAUAGACAAGCACAUGCAUUGGGUUUGAAUUUUGCAAGUGAGUUGUUGGAAGGGAACCCCUAGAUGUCAUUUGCAUGCUAAGUGCUUUCCCCGACUGUGUUAUUUGCUGUUCACCCAGCCCCGUGCAUUCCAUCUCUCACAUUUUUCAUGCGAGUGUUCUGCUGCCCAAAGUUACUCUGUAUAGUGUUUAAUCCACUCUGAGUCAGUUCUGCAGAGCAGUCGGUGGUAAAGUCCUUUCACCAGCACUGUCUGAGAGUUCCUGUGACAACAGCAUCCCCGUUCAUUGAGGCCUGAGUGUUCUUUUAGAUUCCUGCUUAAACAUAAACCAGCAGUGAACGAAGAAUCUUUAGUACCUGACGUGAAAUGGAGCCCAAGUCUAUACUGCUGACUGGGCUGGGGGCGCAUGCUUGGUUGGGGUUCAUUAUAUCUGAACUCAUAUCAGGGAGAUGAUUUACUGUUUCUCAAUAAAAGAUGGAGUUUUGAAGAAUACCUUCUUUUGUGUGGGAUGGAAACAUGUGGCUAAGCCUAUUGCAUCACCUUGUACAAAAGAGAUAUUCAGCAGGUAUUUAUUAAGCUAAACUGAAUCAUGCUCAAAGACGCUCCUCUUCCCUAAGCACCAUUCAGUUGAAUGUAACAUGAAAGAGACAAUGCAUCAUGUUCAUUCUGGUUUAGGGUCUUUCCUUGUUGAAGGCUUUCUGCUGUUUAGAGAAAGACCAAGUAUAGCAGCCAGAAAAACACAGAGCUGGCAACUGAGUCACAAAGCUGUAGCAACACAUCACUCAAGAGGAACCCUUCUCACAAUGGGUAGAUAUACAUUGAGUGGUGAUGUGGAGUGAGACGGAUUGAUAUCCACAAUGUCCCAAAAGGAAAAGAGACAAAUUUGACAGUAAUCCAAUUUCCGUCAGCAAAUUUAGAUGAUGAGAUGAAAAGUUAGAUUUAUGAGGAUAGAUUCAUUCUCACUAGGUAUUAUGACGUUAGAACGCCUGCCAGGUGAAAAGUGGCACAUUUUUAGGGGAAUUUAGGUCCAACGAAAAGGUGUUUCCUUAGGCAGAAAUUGAAACAUGAUCUGUCUGUCCAGAGUUUUGUGCCUUCGAGCACACAUGUGCAUGCAAG
rnacentral:lncRNA from 1 species